AGCGAACGCUGGCGGCAGGCCUAACACAUGCAAGUCGAACGAAGUCUUCGGACUUAGUGGCGGACGGGUGAGUAACACGUGGGAACGUGCCUUUAGGUUCGGAAUAACUCAGGGAAACUUGUGCUAAUACCGAAUGUGCCCUUCGGGGGAAAGAUUUAUCGCCUUUAGAGCGGCCCGCGUCUGAUUAGCUCGUUGGUGAGGUAAAGGCUCACCAAGGCGACGAUCAGUAGCUGGUCUGAGAGGAUGAUCAGCCACAUUGGGACUGAGACACGGCCCAAACUCCUACGGGAGGCAGCAGUGGGGAAUCUUGCGCAAUGGGCGAAAGCCUGACGCAGCCAUGCCGCGUGAAUGAUGAAGGUCUUAGGAUUGUAAAAUUCUUUCCCCGGGGACGAUAAUGACGGUACCCGGAGAAGAAGCCCCGGCUAACUUCGUGCCAGCAGCCGCAGUAAAAC
rnacentral:rRNA from 1 species